rnacentral:miRNA from 1 species
CCUGGAACUCACUUUGUAGACCAGGCUAGCCUAAAACUCACUGAGACCUGCCUGCCUCUGCCUCCUGAGUGCUGGGAU